CGAGUUCAAUGAUGCUAAUUUUAAUUCCUUACCUACAUUAUCUGAAACUUCUGUGAAAGAUUGAUACUCAAUUUUCUGAGAACUCG